ACCUGCUCAGAGUAAACCACAAAUACCUGCUCAGAGUAAAUACCCACAAACAGCUGCUCAGAGGAAGGGCAGCUGCCCCUGACCCUGGGCUGGGCAGAGCUGCUAGAACUUUGCUGCUUUUGUGCCUGCUGGGAUGGGAUAACAUCCAGUGAACACAGGAUGAGGACACCUGGGCAGAUCUGCCAACCAUCAGCACCCACAGUCUGAAGGCAGUGAGGACCAAGGCCCAAAAACUGGAGGUGAUAAAAAGGGACUAAAGCCACAGCCAAGGAAUCCACAUGAUUUAAAAGGUGGAACCAAAGAGGAGCCAGGCUAAACAGCUCUUGGAACAGGGCAGUGAAGGUGUUUUUCACAUGUGAUACCCACCUGCACGCUGCAGUCAUGGCCAGGACAUCCCGCGACUGAGCCCAGCUGAGUUCUGCUGAACUGGGAGGCACUGGGAUACACUGGGGGGAGCCAGUGCCCCGUGCCACUGCGGCCAGGCCUUGGCUCUCUUGGGAGCCCUUAUCUCCUGCAGCAGUGACACUGAGCCACUCCUGCUGCCGGCCCUGGCUGCUGGCCAGAGCUCCCAACACGCACAGCAGUUGUCAGGAGCAGAUGAAGAAAAAUCUCCUGGUUGGAGCAGAGGAGGGGGUGGGGGGCUGCUCGGAUUCUGUCAGGGACUGGAUGGGCCUGAAGCUCCAAAAGGGGAUCUCUAAUUAGGGGAACCCUCUGAGUGUGAUGGAUGAGAUCUGUGCUGCUCAUCACUGCAAAUCCAGGCAGAAUCUGCUCCUUUGGAGCUCAGAGGAAACAUGACUCUAAAAAAUCCUUGUUCCCGAGUGUCUGUGAGUGCUGCCAAGUCGUCCUGCUCAGCCCAGACCUGCCCAAAACUGCUCCCUCCCCUGCCUGUCCUGGUGUCUCCCUUCCUGGGAGCACACUGUCCUUGGAGGCUGGAGCUGGAACACACAGCAGCUCCUCGCCCUUUCCCAGGCUCAGAAAUUAGGGCAGGCUCAGAGAGAUCCACGAGUUUCCUUUCCUUUCCUCCUGAUGGCUGUGCCCAGGAACAUGUGGGAGAGGAGAGUAAACUCCUUCUGCUCUUCCUCCAGGAGCAGGGCAGAUGCAGUUUAGCAGGAAAAAUACAAUAGGACAAGAAUUAAAUUGCUUGUGUAGGGAUGCUGAGGUCACUGAGGACUUCAGAGUCUGGAUGGGCUCUGGGAGUGAUGGAAAAGGGAAAAGAGGGGAGAAGGUCACUGGGGUAGAGAGCACAAACUUCACUGCAUGGUAGUGACAAGUGUGGCCAGCCAGGCUCCCUGUCCCCUCUCACCAGCACCUCCCUGACUCCCAAAAAGGGUCACUGAUGAGGAGAAGGAACCCCCAACCCCCAGCUGGUCCAGGAGAAGCCUCAGGGGUACAAAGCAAUCCCUUGAAGUUCAUUUGUAUUUUCCAUUUACAUUCCACAUUUAACGCUCUGAAGCAGUGCUCUCAUGGCAGGAGCUGCUGGGUGGGACCUGCUGGGCCUGGUGGGCUGAGGGAGGCAGCACUGUCUGGGACAUAUCCUGAAGCAGAUACUCAGAGAACCUGUUUUGCACUGUUGGGUGGGGAUAUGGUGUUGGUAGGAGGUGGAAAUGACCCAGAAAUCAGGGCUGGAGCAAUUCCUAUCCCUCACACCACUGGCUGGGACCCCAGACUGGUUCCUUUGAGUCCAUGCAAUGGCCUGGGUGGGAAAGGACCUUA